GGGCAGCCUUGCGCCAGGAAGGAACCUCUAGGAUGAAUGAAGCGGGUGAGUUUGGGGCGCCGCUGCCUGCGGCGCGGGGCGCGCUCUUCGGGACGGGGACGCCGGAGAUGGCCUCCGCAGAGCCGAGACCGUGACGCGGAGCAAGGAAUCUGCUUCCUGCUGUCAGGGAGAGGGGGCUUCUGAGAAGAAAGGGAAGAGAGACGAGAGGGGCUCGGGGCUUCUGAGAAGAAAGGGAAGAGAGACGAGAGGGGCUCGGGGCCUCUGCAAGGGAUCGAACUCAGGACCUUGCGCUUGCGAGGCAGACGGCGGCACCACUAAACUAAAUCCCCCGCCCCCCGUUUCUGUUUUGAAACAGUGUCCAAGUUGCCACUGUCCAGGCUGGGCUCGAACUGGCAGUCCUCUAGCCCCAGCCUCCCAGAGCGCCAAGCUGGUUCUGCGUGUUCGGGGGCGGGCGAAGGAGCAGGCCCGCCUGCCUACGCCCUGUAGACCUCGGAGCAGGAGCCAGAGCGGAGCCGGGGUGGGGACUCGGCCCCGCCCAGCCCGGCCUGUCCUCAAGGACGGGUGGGGGAGGGGAGGGACGCGGAGGGAGGCUGGUUACGCUUUAGCGAGGCGUGUGCGGGUCCUGCUGGAGUCCAAUAAAACUGUCAGGGCUAUCAAUUACCAGAUCUGGUGCUAGGGGUGGCUCGGUUUACUUGGCCGUUGAGGAUCCCUGCGGGCAGAAUAUCAAUGAAUACCGCCUGGGGGGGAUGGCGUUGGCAGUGACCAGUGAUGUCACUAGGUACCUGUCCUGGCCAGGCAACCACAUUCUGCCGCCUCCUGCCUUGUCAUCUCAAGAUUCCCGCCCCUUUCUUUUAUUUUGAAGUACUGGCUUUGAACCCAGGAUCUUGGCACUGAGCUACAUCCCCAGUCCUUUUUUCGGUUUUGAGACAUGGUUUCACUAAGUCACUGAACUGCCCUAGACUGGGCUCGAACUUGUGACCCUCCUUUCUCAGCCUCCCAGAAUUCGAAGAUCACAAGGAAGCAGCAUCAAGCCCGUCUGGAACCCCAGCACUCAGGAGGCUGAGGCAGGAGGAUCCCAAAUUGAAGCCCAGCCUGGGCAAUUCAGCGACUUAAUGAGACCUUGUUUCAAAUUUGAAAAAAAAAGCGCUGGAUAUGUAGCUCAGUGCAAAGGCCCUGGGUUCAGUUUCCAGGAACAAAACAAAAACCCAAAAGCAAAUCCUAAAUUUUUACAGACCCAGACACAAAAAGCCUGUAAAUUGGGCCCGGGCUUUGUAGGAAGGGAUGAAUGUUGUCUGUAAAUUGAACCCCACAGACUCCACCCCAGCAACCCAGUUUUAGGUCACAAGGUCUCCCCCUUCUCCAGGGCCCCUCUCUUCUCUCUGAAUGUGUACUUUAAAUUCUGCCUAAUACAACUCUUUAUGCCUCUCACGUGCCUUUUUGUUGUUUAUAUUUUUUACUUUUUGAGAUGGUCUCACUAUGUGGUUCAGGCUGGCCUUGAACUCACCCACCGUGAAGCCCUCACUGGCCUGGAACUCGAAGUGAUCCUCCUGCCUCAGCCUCCAGAGCGCUGGGAUUACAGGCUGUGCACCUGGCUGUCUCUCACUCUAGCGUCUUGAUGGAUUUUUUUUUCCUGUGAUGGAAGUUAGCGAACCACAACAUGCCCCAUGGUGGGGUGGGUUGAGGUCCCCCUCGGGUUUCGGGGACCCCCUUGGACGCUGCCUGGUGACGAUACCUACAUUGCUGGAAUAUCGACCGCGACCCUGAUGCCCUCACCAGGCUGAGGGGCGAGGGGCAGCAGGGUUUGGGGACCGAGGCCCCGUCCUCCCUGCUCCGCUGCCCCUCGGGGCCCUGGAGGCUGCACAGCCCGACUCUCCGCCCUCACAGGCAGCCAGGCGGCUCCCGGCGGAAUUAGCAAGGCCUGACCUAAAUACAGCACAACCCGGAGCCCAGCAGCGCGGGAGCCAGCCGUGUGGGGACCCACACCAUGAG
rnacentral:lncRNA from 1 species